rnacentral:pre_miRNA from 14 species
UGGCUGCUCAGUAGUCGGUGUAGGAUCUGUUUGACGGUCUUGCUAACAGCUACAUCUGAUUACUGGGUCACCA